GGGGGCGUAGCUCAGCUGGUUAGAGUGCAUGCCUGUCACGCAUGAGGUCGCGGGUUCGAUACCCGUCGUCCCCGCCA
rnacentral:tRNA from 1 species